rnacentral:rRNA from 1 species
CAUGCCGUAAACGUUGGGCACUAGAUGUGGGGGACAUUCCACGUUCUCCGCGUCGUAGCUAACGCAUUAAGUGCCCCGCCUGGGGAGUACGGCCGCAAGGCUAAAACUCAAAGGAAUUGACGGGGGCCCGCACAAGCGGCGGAGCAUGCUGAUUAAUUCGAUGCAACGCGAAGAACCUUACCAAGGCUUGACAUGCACCGGACGACUCCAGAGAUGGGGUUUUCUUCGGACUGGUGCACAGGUGG